rnacentral:rRNA from 1 species
UACGGAGGGUGCAAGCGUUAUCCGGAUUCACUGGGUUUAAAGGGUGCGUAGGCGGGUUGGUAAGUCCGUGGUGAAAUCUCCGAGCUUAACUCGGAAACUGCCGUGGAUACUAUCAAUCUUGAAUAUCGUGGAGGUAAGCGGAAUAUGUCAUGUAGCGGUGAGAUGCUUAGAGAUGACAUAGAACACCAAUUGCGUAGGCAGCUUACUACACGAUCAUUGACGCUGAGGCACGAAAGCGUGGGGAGCAAACAGG